rnacentral:rRNA from 1 species
UUGAACGCUGGCGGCAUGCCUUACACAUGCAAGUCGAACGGUAACAGGUCUUCGGACGCUGACGAGUGGCGAACGGGUGAGUAAUACAUCGGAACGUGCCCAGUCGUGGGGGAUAACUACUCGAAAGAGUAGCUAAUACCGCAUACGAUCUGAGGAUGAAAGCGGGGGACCUUCGGGCCUCGCGCGAUUGGAGCGGCCGAUGGCAGAUUAGGUAGUUGGUGGGAUAAAAGCUUACCAAGCCGACGAUCUGUAGCUGGUCUGAGAGGACGACCAGCCACACUGGGACUGAGACACGGCCCAGACUCCUACGGGAGGCAGCAGUGGGGAAUUUUGGACAAUGGGCGAAAGCCUGAUCCAGCAAUGCCGCGUGCAGGAUGAAGGCCUUCGGGUUGUAAACUGCUUUUGUACGGAACGAAAAAGCUUCUCCUAAUACGAGAGGCCCAUGACGGUACCGUAAGAAUAAGCACCGGCUAACUACGU